rnacentral:tRNA from 1 species
GCCUCCGUAGCUCAGAGGAAGAGCAUCCGCCUUUUAAGCGGAGGGUCGGGAUAUCGUAAUUCCCCGGGGGCAC